GAAAUUAAAUGUACUUCUACUCAAAUAAUUAAAUAUCAACAUUACGGAAGCACCAUUCAACGUUUGGGGGCUUGAGUGGCGUUUCGUCAGAGAUGUUUCGCCUGCCUGAGUAGAAACGUUUCCGAAGUGGAAGGCCUGCCCUUGGGUAUAUACAGCGGCCGGACAUCUUCAGAAGCUCGCGAAAUAGAAUUCCCGACUUCCUGCAUGGAGAAUUAGGAGUGCCGAGGCGCACCAUGCAAAUUCCCCCUUUAGCUCUCUUGCAACGACAGCUGGAGUUUGCAGUCAGGGCUGUGCGUCCGCCGCAUAUAUCAUCCAGAACAUUCACAUUCCCUGACAGCUCAUCCCGGAGAAUAAUAUCUGCCCAGGAAUCUGAAAACCAGUUGGUCUCACAUAUACCUUAUUAACUGCGGUUAGGGUGUUUGUAAGCCAUGUUACUCAUAUGUGAAUCGACUUACGCAGAGUAAUUCAAGCCGUUCAAACAGUUAAAAAAAACUUGUUACGUUGCAGUCACUCAUUAAGUAAACAGUAGCGUGUUUUACCAUAUUUUGGAGUUUGAGGUUAAAUUCGAGGUUAAGCUGUAUUUUAUCUCUGCCAUUAUUCAAUAUAGGAAUUGGGAUUAUUAUUAGGUUGAUUCGGGUGGCACUGCUCACACUUGCAGAAUCGGGGGUUUGCGUCCCUGCGCCGCCCUGUGUGUCUGGAACCAGUGUGUGUGAGUGUCCUCCCACAGUCCAAAGGACAUGCUGUUCGUUAAAAUAGUUUUUGUGAAUUUCCCAUAGUUUGUGAACGUGUGUCUGCGCACGCUCUCCGCAAUCAACUAGAAUCCCAGUUAGAAGAUGUACAUUUAUUAUUAUUUAGUGUUGUUGUUAAUAUGUUUAUGUUUUCUUGAAGUAACACAACCAGUUUGAUUUUUGUUUCAUGUUUACAUCUAGGGAUAUGAAUGAUUUAUUAUUUGUUAUUGAAUUAGAAUUAUUAAUUAUUGAUCAGUUUAGCUUUCACAUCGCUCAAGGCAGGGAACUCGUGAAGGAGAGGUAUUGAGAUGCCUGGACUCAAUGUUUCUUAAUGACUUCAGUGUGUGUUUCCCUCCACCUGAACUCCUAAUGAACCCGUUAAACCAAAUAUUGGCCUCAUUACCCGGGUGGAAACCCCGUCUCCAAUUACUGUUGAUUACGGAGGGGGUCAAUAAAAGCAGAAUUGUUGAAUGUCUGGUAUUGGGGGGGCUGGUGAUAGUGCAGGAGCUGUUUCACACAUACUGGAACAUUUGCUAGAUGGAAGGCUGGAACGACCACUCCAGAAUGGUUAAGUGGGAUUUACACAAAUGAUACAUUGGUAACAAAAAAAUCAAAUUAUAUGUAAUUUCUA